rnacentral:rRNA from 1 species
ACAGUGGACGCGAGCAUCUUUGAUCUUUUUGUGGUCAAGUUUUUUAAGAGCAUUCGGUGGAUGCCUUGGCACCAGGAGCCGAAGAAGGACGUUGUAGCCUGCGAUAAGCCUCGGGGGAGCUGGCAAACGAGCUGUGAUCCGAGGGUGUCCGAAUGGGGGAAACCCGGCCAGAGUCAUGUCUGGUUACCCCGCGCCUGAAUAUAUAGGGGCGUGUGGGGGGGGAACGCGGGGGAAGUGAAACAUCUCAGUACCCGCAGGAAGAGAUAUUCCGUGAGUAGUGGCGAGCGAAAGCGGACGAGGCUAAACCGGGGGGUGUGUGACAGCCGGCGGGCGUUGCACCCUCGGGGGUCGUGGGACCUGCUGACCAGCUCUGCCGGGGCUGGUGGGGGAGUGAGAAAGUCGCGGUGUAGUCGAACGGUCUGGGAAGGCCGGGCACAGUGGGUGAGACCCCCCGUAGACGAAAACGUCGUGGCCUCCUUGCAGGGGAUCCCGAGUAGCACGGGGGCCCGUGAAAUCCCCGUGUGAAUCUGCCAAGACCACUUGGUAAGCCUAAAUACUACCUGGUGACCGAUAGCGGACAAGUACCGUGAGGGAAAGGUGAAAAGUACCCCCGGGGAGGGGGAGUGAAAUAGUACCUGAAACCGGAUGCUUACAAUCCGUCGGAGCCUCCAUGGCUGGGGGUGACGGCGUGCCUUUUUGAAGAAUGAGCCUGCGAGUUAGUGGCAUGUGGCGAGGUUAACCCGGGGUGGGGGAAGCCGUAGCGAAAGCGAGUCCGAACAGGGGCGCACCAGUCGCGUGCUCUAGACCCGAAGCGGAGUGAUCUACCCAUGGGCAGGUUGAAGCACGUGUAAGAGCGUGUGGAGGACCGAACCCACUUAGGUUGAAAACUGAGGGGAUGACCUGUGGGUAGGGGGUGAAAGGCCAAUCAAACUCCGUGAUAGCUGGUUCUCCCCGAAAUGCAUUUAGGUGCAGCGUCAUGUGUUUCUUGCCGGAGGUAGAGCUACUGGAUGGCCGAUGGGCCCUACAAGGUUACUGACGUCAACCAAACUCCGAAUGCCGGUAAGUGAGAGCAUGGCAGUGAGACUGCGGGCGAUAAGGUUCGUGGUCGAGAGGGAAACAGCCCAGACCACCGGCUAAGGCCCCCAAGCGUGUGCUAAGUGGGAAAGGAUGUGGAGUUGCACAGACAACCAGGAGGUUGGCUUAGAAGCAGCCACCCUUGAAAGAGUGCGUAAUAGCUCACUGGUCAAGUGAUUCUGCGCCGACAAUUCAGCGGGGCUCAAGCACACCGCCGAAGCCGUGGCAUCCGCGCACACCCCCAGCAUCCCCCUCGAGGGGGUGUUCAGGGGGCGCGGGGUGGGGUAGGGGGAGCGUCGUGUGGGGAGGUGAAGCUGCGGGGGUGACCCAGUGGUGGAUCCCACACGAGUGAGAAUGCAGGCAUGAGUAGCGAAUGACGGGUGAGAAACCCGUCCGCCGAAUGACCAAGGGUUCCAGGGCCAGGUUAAUCCGCCCUGGGUAAGUCGGGACCUAAGGCGAGGCCGACAGGCGUAGUCGAUGGACAACGGGUUGAUAUUCCCGUACCGGCGAAGGACCGACCAUGCCGACCCCGGUGAUGCUGACCACCCAACGUCUCGUGGGUUCCUUCGGGAACCGGCGGGACCGCGCGUGGGACCCGAUCCGGCAGUAGGCAAGCGUGUUAACAGGGGUGACGCAGACAGGUAGCCACCGCGUGCUUAAUGGCAAUGCACGUCUAAGGAUGCAGGGCGGGGUGCAGGCAAAUCCGCACCCCACGAAGCCUCAGGUCCGACAGUGACCCCGUAUGGGGGAAGCAGGGUGAUCCUAUGCUGCCGAGAAAAGCCUCGACGCGAGGGACUAGCCGCCCGUACCCUAAACCGACUCAGGUGGUCAGGUAGAGAAUACCAAGGCGAUCGAGAGAAUCGUGGUUAAGGAACUCGGCAAAAUGCCCCCGUAACUUCGGGAGAAGGGGGGGCCUGAGGGGUGAGGCCACUAGCUGGCUAGCCCUUUCGGGCCGCAGAGACCAGGGAGAAGCGACUGUUUACUAAAAAACACAGGUCCGUGCGAAGUCGCAAGACGAUGUAUACGGACUGACGCCUGCCCGGUGCUGGAAGGUUAAGAGGACGGGUCAGCCGCGAGGCGAAGCUCAGAAUUUAAGCCCCAGUAAACGGCGGUGGUAACUAUAACCAUCCUAAGGUAGCGAAAUUCCUUGUCGGGUAAGUUCCGACCUGCACGAAUGGCGUAACGACUUCUCCGCUGUCUCGACCGCGAACUCGGCGAAAUUGCACUACGAGUAAAGAUGCUCGUUUUCGCGCAGCAGGACGGAAAGACCCCCGGGACCUUUACUAUAGCUUGGUAUUGGUGUUCGGUACGGCUUGUGUAGGAUAGGUGGGAGACCGUGAAGCCGCCACGCCAGUGGUGGUGGAGUCGCCGUUGAAAUACCACUCUGGUCGUACUGCACAUCUAACCUCGGUCCGUGAUCCGGACCAGGGACAGUGCCUGGUGGGUAGUUUAACUGGGGCGGUUGCCUCCCAAAAUGUAACGGAGGCGCUCAAAGGUUCCCUCAGCCUGGUUGGCAAUCAGGUGUCGAGUGCAAGUGCACAAGGGAGCUUGACUGUGAGACUGACAGGUCGAGCAGGGACGAAAGUCGGAACUAGUGAUCCGGCGGUGGCUUGUGGAAGCGCCGUCGCUCAACGGAUAAAAGGUACCCCGGGGAUAACAGGCUGAUCUUGCCCAAGAGUCCAUAUCGACGGCAUGGUUUGGCACCUCGAUGUCGGCUCGUCGCAUCCUGGGGCUGGAGUAGGUCCCAAGGGUUGGGCUGUUCGCCCAUUAAAGCGGUACGCGAGCUGGGUUUAGAACGUCGUGAGACAGUUCGGUCCCUAUCCGCUGCGCGCGCAGGAAACUUGAGAAGGGCUGUCCCUAGUACGAGAGGACCGGGACGGACGAACCUCUGGUGUGCCAGUUGUUCCGCCAGGAGCAUGGCUGGUUGGCUACGUUCGGAAGGGAUAACCGCUGAAAGCAUCUAAGCGGGAAGCCUGCUUCAAGAUGAGGUUUCCACCACCCUCGUGGUGGGAAGGCCCCCAGCAGACCACUGGGUUGAUAGGCCGGACGUGGAAGCGCGGCAACGCGUGGAGCUGACCGGUACUAAUUGGCCGACAACUUGCCACAACACC